ensembl:lncRNA
UUGUACUACUCUUAGAAUAAACUUCCACUCUUGUCACACUAAGCCACAAACACAGGUUUGGUGAGACAGAUUUAUUCAGCCAUCAUGAGACACGCAUUACAUAAGAAGAAUAAAGGUGUUUUUGUGCCUCUGCAGGAGGAGCCGCUUACACAACACAAGACGCCACACAAACCUGAUGAUGAUGAUGUGACAAACUCAGGUUUUGUAAACACAAGGAUGCAGCUGCUGCAGUAACGGACGCAGGAAGCAGCUUCGCUGCCGACUUCAGCUCGUUCCUCAGAUCUCGCCGGGUGGGCAGACCAUCAUUGGACCAGCAGGAAGUGUCAUGUUUCACGCUCACAGCUUUAAAACCAAAACCCCCACAGCUCGCUGACUGACAGUUUCCUCAGCCAAUCAAACGUGAACACAGCUCAGAAGAAAUCCAUUAAAACCCUUCUGCCCAAUCAUUUGCAUUCACUUUAAUCCCAGCGCAGCUGCGGGGGGGCUGCUGAUUGGCUGACAUCAGAGUUUAUCAGUGUCAGAUGACAAACAGCUGCAAAAGGAAAAGUUAAUCUGAUGAAGACUGUGUGGUUUUGGACAGCGUUCCCACCGAGGCUCUUCCAGAGAAGCUCUGUGAUCAGCACUCUCAGUGCAACAAUCAUAUGCACCAAUAGAAUCAGCGUCUAUCACAAAAUAAAAGCAUAGUGUGACACAAAAGCACUCUGUCUGUUUCCACCUGAAGGGAAAGGACUGUCGACAGGAAGAGGCUUCAUUUCCCAGAAUCCAAGAGCGAGAAUGAGCCACAACGUCGACUCCAGCCUGGACGUCCUCGUCUCCACCUACACGCUUUGUAAAGUCACCGCAGUCGGGACGGUUUCUGACGUGGUCAGAUUUUUGUAAUCAAAUCAUUAUCUGUGCACGACUCCCACAUCCAAACAAUCCCUCGUAUGCUCCCGUCUCUUUAAGACAGCCCUCCCUAAAUCCCACUGUUUUCUCAUUGGUCAGUGUCUGGAAACCUGCAGUUAGUCGGUGGGCAGAGAUGCGUUAUAAAAGUAGAACGAGCUGUUGGAAACUGAGCGUUCAGAGCAGCCUGAACAUUUUCUCUCAGGAGGAUUAAAUACGUCUGAUAUGACACAAAAAAGGAAGAAGAUGCGAGUUUCAACUAGUCUGGGAAAAAAUCUCAGGCUGAACAUCUUGAUCUUAAGAAAACAUCCUGAUCUUCUUCAGGCCUCGGUGGAGGGGACGUUCAGGUUCCCAGCAUGAGUCUAGAAUGAGAGUAACAGUUUCUGGAGCUAAAAUGAUCCAAAACAACGAUGCUCCACAGGAAAACAGUUUGUCCCGGGUGAAAGUGUUGGAAUCAGAGACCUAUCCUUCCUUUGUGUCCAUUAAAACAGUCCCCGUGUCUUUGAACCAAAGUACAACACGUUCAGGUUUCAAGUCGAGUGUUGACACGGUCAGAGGCGUUCCUGAAGCUGGUUUAACGGCAGCGUUAAUGCCGCAUGUCUCAGUUUGUGAACACAAACGUUUUCAGUGGGAAGCUGGAACGAGCCGAGUCAAAUACAAUAACUCCUCCCACGCUCUGCACAGUUCACCAAUGCACCAGAAGCUCGGGCACUUACGUUCCCGUCGUCGCCAUUGUCGAUGUGGAGCAAGUGCCCAGCUGCCAUGUCACUCUGUGGUUUCCGCGGUAACCAGUCAGACAGUUUUCCCUGACGAGUCAGUGCUGCUGUUAGAGCAUCCGGGCACAGGAUGGCGUUCAUGAACGGCGCGACUCGAAUAAACAGACCAAUCAGAUGUGGCUCACUGUCCUGACUGUGCUGCGUUUGUGUGCGUGUUUGGAGAAACAAUCAGUGCUGGCUCUUACUGGCAAACACAUUUAAUAACUGGAUGUGAAACAGGAUUGGCUGGUGCACACAGAGCUGGGAACAGCUGGACCAACCUGUACGUUAGUGUGAUUUGCAAAAAUAAAUACAACGUGGACGAAUCUUCAGCUGUGACAGAAGAGCUGCAGUGAAACUUACACGAAGCAGUUUUUAUCAGCAGAUGUUUCAAAAACUACAAAAUGAUCUUUUUCAAGACAACAUUAAACACAUUUGGUUUGUGAGCUGAGAUCAACCUGAACAUCUGGAUAACAGCUGAGCAGAUGUGAGACAGCCAAUCAGGAACAGCAGAAGAUUACACACGUUUAAAGCAGUAAUAACUGUGACACCUUAGCUUACAACAGGCCUUUCAAGCAGUGCGCUAAAAACAGGGAGCUAAAAUAUCUCAUCUGAAGCCCCGUUUGGGGUCCCUGAACCACAGUUUGAGUAACACAGUAAUUGGAUGAAGAAUUUAAAAAGCGUUAAAAAUAAAAACAAAGAACUUUCUGAAUAAUAAUAAUAAUAAUAAUGAUAAUUUUUGGUGUUUUUCUAGUGGAGGUUUAGGACUGUGGGUCCAGUCCUGCAUGUCUGGAUUUCUAUCGUUGUGAGGACCCUCCAUGACACAACCUGAACAACAAAUCUCAAUCUGCAGGCAUGUCCUCACAUGAUCCAACAAUCACACAGGUCUCCACAAAGAUAGACAUGUAAGAGCACAAGCACACACAGUGCAGUCCAGUGUAGCAGGGAUUCAUGGGACUUUCCCGUCUCCUAAAACAAGAGUCCUUUAAAAUUCAGCACCAGCAGCGUCCUGGGAGACGGCAUCCAGUGAUGUAAUCACUUUGGACACGUGAUCCCUGAACAUACGCACGGUUCAGAAUCUGCUGACGAAGCCCCAGAAGGUGUAAUGAUCCUUCAGGAGCUGAAUACUAAACAACGGGCCAUCCUCGAAAUGAAGUCCAGUAAAAAACACUCCACAAAAAACGUCCACGUGAAAUCUUAAAUCGAACACUUUGGAGCCAGAAAACUUUUUCUUUCAUAAAUACAGACAUCCUGUCAUUUGUUUGAUACUGAAAAAAUUGAAAUGGAUGCUGGGAAAUGGAGUCUAAUGACGUUAAUACUGACAGGGAAACCUGUAGUGACCAAAAAUAUUAGUUUUAUUCUGGUUUCUUCAAAGGUGGGAACUGAUUAUCAGUCUUUGUGAGUAAAAAAAAUCCACAGUUAUAUCUGGUCAGGCUAGUGCCUCCUGUAGGUGUUAGGGGUUCAGCGCUUUGCACAAGGGCACUUCAGUAGGGUGGAGGAGGGAGUCAAAGCACCUGGCUGGCAGUCAAGUGCUAGAGGCGAGGCUCAGUGUGGAGAAGAAAGAGUUCGGUCAGCUGGUCUGGGUCGAUGUCAUACACUCCUAGAAGAUGAAAGACAGGAAACGUCAAACGGUGCUGACUAGUGUAAAAAUGUGGCAGUCAGCGCCCCCUACAGGCAGAACAUCCUUCAAUCCAAAGGGUUCAUCCUCUGGGGAUCAGGAUAAACAUCUGUACACUUCCACAAACUCUAAACACGUGGAGGAACAGUGAACUGACCGAUGCUGGAGGUGUGCUGCAGCAUAAACAAUUAUGUAAUAGUUACAGUUUAUGGGCAAGUGCCCU